UACAGAGGGUGCGAGCGUUGUCCGGAAUCACUGGGCGUAAAGGGCGCGUAGGCGGGCUGCCGCGUCCGGGGUGAAAUCCCACGGCUCAACCGUGGAACGGCCCCGGGGUACGGGCGGCCUCGAGGGGGGUAGGGGCGUGCGGAACUGUGGGUGGAGCGGUGAAAUGCGUUGAGAUCCACAGGAACUCCGGUGGCGAAGGCGGCACGCUGGACCCCCACUGACG
rnacentral:rRNA from 1 species